AGCGAAUAGAUACCCCGGUAGUCCAUGCCGUAAACUAUGGAUACUAGCUGUUGGGGGUAUCGACCCCUCCAGUAGCGAAAGCUAAACGCGUUAAGUAUCCCGCCUGUGGAGUACGAUCGCAAGAUUAAAACAUAAAGGAAUUGGCGGGGACCCGCACAAGCGGUGGAGCGUGUUCUUUAAAUUCGAUGCUAAACGAAGAACCUUACCAGGGCUUGACAUCCCUUGAAUUACUCCGAAAGGAGUGAGUGCUUUAUUGAGCAAGGUGACAGGUGAUGCAUGGCCGUCGUCAGCUCGUGUCGUGAGAUGUUUGGUUAAGUCCAUCAACGAGCGCAACCCUUAUACUUAGUUGUAUUUUUCUAGGUAGACUGCCCCGGUAACGGGGAGGAAGGGGGGAGGU
rnacentral:rRNA from 1 species